AGCAGUAGCCGCGGUAAUACGAAGGGUGCAAGCGUUACUCGGAAUUACUGGGCGUAAAGCGUGCGUAGGUGGUGGUUUAAGUCCGUUGUGAAAGCCCUGGGCUCAACCUGGGAAUUGCAGUGGAUACUGGGUCACUAGAGUGUGGUAGAGGAUAGUGGAAUUUCCGGUGUAGCAGUGAAAUGCGUAGAGAUCGGAAGGAACAUCUGUGGCGAAGGCGACUAUCUGGGCCAACACUGACACUGAGGCACGAAAGCGUGGGGAGCAAACAGGAUUAGAUACCCCUGUAGUCCCUGUCUCUUAUAA
rnacentral:rRNA from 1 species